rnacentral:lncRNA from 1 species
UUUUUAAUCCCUCUUUUGGCUCAAUCAUCCUAAUUUUCCUGGCAGGUUUAGGGAUAGCAGUCAUUUGUCUUUCAGUUAAAAACUACAAAAUAAAGCAUCCAGACUUGUAGUAUCACAAGACCUGAAAGGACACUUAUUGAAAAUUUAGAGAGCUGCGUGCAUAUUCUGCAAAAAAUUCACUGGCUCUCUCAAGGUCAUUGAGCGGAUUGGUAGCAGAACUGGAGAGAACACUGCUCUCUGCAUUGAAUGCUUCACCCAUUCAUUUGUCUGAGGGAUGAAGGUUUUGAGGAAAUAGUGACAGAAAAUCCUUAGCAUUUUAUGCUAUAGCAGGCAGCAUCCAUAGCCUUCGAUGUCAAAAUUCUGAACUUAUUUAAAUGCCUCUCAUUGUAAGGAUUUUUUUUUUCCUCCAUCUGAAAUGUGUAUUGUUGUUGGCCCAAACACCACUUUUUGAUUGCCCUUGCUGCUUGCUGAGAAUGCAGUCUCUAAAGCACUCUGUUUAAUCUUUGAAUCAGCUCAGGAAGAUGGAAUUACCAUCCCUGGAAAACUGCAGUUUCGUUUCAAGGAACUGACUGCAGCUGCAACAAUAAGAUGGAAAUGUGACUGGUCUGGAGGAGGCGAGGAUUAAAGGUAUGGGAUUAAGAAAGCCUUGCUUGCCCCAGUGAAUAGAAUGAUCACAUAAAUCACAGGCUAACCUUGGCUCCACUCAGCUCGUUAUUAAAGUAUGUGGUGUCACAGCCUCCCCAUAAUUAGGAUUUGUCAUCUUCAAGCAUCAGGAUGGAGGAUGCAGAUGCCAAAAGAGGGGCCAGAGGGAGAGCAGAGGAUGAGGAGGAAAUGAAUAAUUUUGGUGACAGUGACUAGUAUUUUGAUAGGAACCAGAAUGUCUGUAGUAUUUCAAGAUCCAUGCAUAAGGGCAGGAGCUGUUGGAAAUGUGCCCUCCAACUUCAAAAUGUGCCUGACCAUCAGAACGCUGACAAGCGCUGGGGGGAGAGCAGCUGGAACUCUGCAGGCUGCUUGUGUUUCCUUUCUUGAUACUUCUUCCAAGAUCACAUUUGCAGCUGCUUUUAUCUGCUCUUUAGAAGUUCUUGUAUUUGGGGAAUCAUUAAUUGUAAAAUAAAUACCUACUCGCUGACAUAGAAAUGUAAUUUAUUAGCCAGCCACAGAACUGGUUGUCUGCUAAUGCAUCUAGAGUGAAUCUGGAACUUUCCACUCCACCCAAGAUGCCAUUCAUGGAGACUCAAGUUUAUUGCACCUCAUGUUGCCUCCCGGCUAGUGCCCUAGGCUAAGACAUGAAAAAUAACCCUCUCUUCAAGAGAAAAAAUUUUUAUAUAUUACCCGGUGAUAUGGAUGGGGACAUGGGAAGAGGUUUUUGAAUAAGAGCCAGAGCCCUGAAAGAAUGGCCAGGAGAGAAGAGACAGCAUGCAAAUACAGCUGUAAGAGCAAGGUCAUUGAGAAAUAAGGUAGAGCCUGAUCUUGUUCAAAUAGGGGGCCAGCACAUGUUGGGAUUGGGGGCCAUGCAGGAAGAAGGUCAGGACAGAGGUGGAACCAUGAGAAAAUUGACCUCUGGAUAUCUAAGACACAAUGUCUUGGGAUGCAGCCAGCUGAAGUGUGGUCAGUACCAGUUCUGUAGUUGGCUAAUAAAUUACUACAUGUCGGUGAGCAAUGACCAAACCAGUAGGUAAGACAAGGCACCUAGAGGUUCCAGGCAGCACCAGUGGGUAGCAGCAUGGGUGAACUACAGCAGUCACUGGACCAGAAUCCAGACUAGGCUGUGUCAGGGCCAUGGCCAAGUAACGUGAAGUUCACAGUAUGUCCCAGGUUAUAGACAGGACCGGGAGUUCGAGUCUGGGUAACUGAGCAGCUAUCAAGCUAAACCAAGAUACCUAGAUGGGCUCAGUUCUGAGAGAGUGAGGGUGAUGAAUCUUCCACUUUAGGGCUACAUCAAGGCCCCAGGCUCAGCCUUUGAAUGUGACUAGUAACCCAACUUCCAUUCCGAAUCACACUGAAGGGCAGGAUUGAGGCUGCCUGUUUCUUUCCUGUCCUGGUCAGGUUUAGAGCAGGUGUUGGCCCUGUAGUGGACAUAUAACAUUUGUCUGCCCGACAGUCCUUCAUUUGGCAAUGACCUUGCUAUGACUCAAUGUGAUUUGGGUACUGCCCUCCCCAGUGCACAAGGGUGCAAAUGUGACUCAGGUCUGGCCAAUCAGAUUACUGCAUUCUUCCUCCUGCACGCACUUAUCCAGAGACAGCAUGUGGCACCUGCUGAACUAACUCUUCUAUUGAAGGUCUUCUACUAUUGGCAUUUAUUGAGGGCUUACCAGGUGCCAGGAGCUGCUCUAAAUGCUUCAGAUACAUUUACUCCUCAUAUCAAUUCAAUAAGGCAAUGCUAAUUAUCUCCCCUUUACAGAUAAAGAAACUGAGAUAAGGACAGAGUAAUCUAAUAUCACACAGCUUGGUGGUAGAGACAGACUGUGUAGGCAGUUUUGUCCCAGAGUUUAGGCUAUUGAUGUGCAAGGAAAGACAUAAACUAUAAGGCUUAUGUAAACUGGAGAUACAAAUGACCAUCUUCCUAGGUCUCAGGGUGGGAGUUGUCUGCAGUAAAGGAGAAUGAGACCUUACACUAUGAAUAGAAGAAAGAAAAAGAAAGAGAGAGAGAUGGAAAAAAGGCUUUCAUAAUAUGGCUUAAGUUCCUGAAUCUAGGUGUGCCUGAAGCUGCUCAACCCAUGGACCUUUCAGUUACAGGGACCAGGAAACACCCUUUAUUGCUUAAGCCAGUUAAUCAGGUUUUUGUCAUUUACCGGUAAGAGUCCUGACUAAUACAAGCUUGUCUGUAGGGUAUUCCAUAUACCCUGGGAAGACUGCGGAAGAUGAGCAGAAGGGAUGAGUCAGGAUAUUAAAAACAGGUUGGCAUCCUAUGAUACAAUUGCUGCGGCAUUCCACGGCUCCAGCUGUCCUCACCUUCCCAGUGUGCCCUGCCUCACUGAUGAUCUGUAAACACACUGACUGUCCCUCUCCAGAUAGAGUCCACUGGCCCCUGGAGAGAGGUCUAAAGUUAAAGCAAUGAGGGGCUAUCACCUCACAAGGAGAAAAUGUUUGAUCUGCUUUAUCAAUGCCUGGGUUUAUAGCUCACUGCAAAUAAUGUGUAGAAACCUGGUUGAAUACAAAAAGGACACACCUGUGAAACUUUAAAAAGCAAGAUAAUUGAGAUGCUUGUGCUUCGAAAUUCACCUACAUGCUCCCUUUUAAAAGCUUGAGGGAUUGGGUGAUGGGUUGAUUGGUUGGUCCUUCAGGAACAGCCAGAAGGUUUUAUACUUGUUCCGUUUUUGACUAGUUAAAUGUGUCCUUUCUAGGUUUCUGGGCUUACAGAGAAGUGGCCCUUGGUAUGGUUUGGCCUUGGGGCCAAUACAAGUGAAACUCUUAGUGUCUGGCACAUAGUAAGUGCUCAUUGAUCUUUGGUUUUCCAAUGACUUCAAUCUCUGGUAUUACUUUUCUUUCUUUUUUUUUUUUUUGCUAUUUCUUUGGGCCACUCCCGUGGCAUAUGGAGGUUCCCAGGCUAGGGGUCUAAUCGGAGCUACAGCUGUGGGCCUGUGCCACAGCCACAGCAAUGCAGGAUCCGAGCUGGGUCUGUGACUUACACCACAGCUCACAGCAACACUGGAUCCUUAACCCACUGAGCAAGGCCAGGGAUUGAACCGGCAACCUCAUGGUUCCUAGUUGGAUUCGUUUCGUUUCCACUGCAUCACGAUGGAAACUCCCCCAAAUUUAAUCUACAGGCAAAUCACCUGGGGAUCUUAUUAAAAUGCAUAUUCUCAUUCAGUAGGUCUGGCUGCCUUUCUAGCCAGCCCCCAGAUCAGGCCAAAGUUGCUGGUCCCCUACCUAUAAGAAGCUAAGUCCUUGAGGAUGACUGAGGCUGGAGUUCUGGUACUUGAAGCCUCUGGGUAUGGCACAAUGGGCUGCUGGGAUGCAAACGUCUCCAGAAGGAAAAUUCCAGCUUCAGCCUAGAGGUGACUGUGAGGUAAAACCGAAAGGGCCCUUCCGAAAUCAGCGUCCAAGCUCUGGGCUGUGGAAAAGUCAGCAGCUUGAGAAAUUUACUUUUCUCCUGAGCCUCUAUGACCCAUAUAAAAUGGCAGGACUGAAUUAUGUUGUCUCUAGAAUACUUUCUCAUUCCAUGAUUCCCAAGUCCGUUAACUCCAGAACAUGGAAUAGGAUCAAACCAACCUAGGUGGCCUCUCCUAGCUCUGCAGGUUAUUAGUUUCUGUAUUUUAAAGAAUCAACAUAAGUCUCAUACAUCCUUUUGGUGCGUUUGCUGUAAAACAUGCAUGUCCUUCCUAUACAUCAAUUGUGUACAUUACUAUUUAGACAUGUAGUUACACCCUAAAGAGGGGAAAUACAUUUGUAUGUGGGGGGUUGAUAAAAAGAAAAUUCUAUUGUAUACAGACCGAAAAACAUUAUACUUUAUUUUUAAAAAUUUGUAAGGGCUGGUAUAAACAAGUCAUAGCUUACAGAUGUGUAUAAAAGCUGCACGAAUUGUGCACAUUUACUAUUUGAAGGGGGAAAAACUCGGUUUUCAAAAAUUGUUUGGACUGUAUGUUCUUUUCCUUUUUAGCAGGGUGGGGAGCCAAAGGAAUUGAAUUACAGGGUAGAAUAUAAAAUACCUCUUUCAAGGAAAUAAAUGUGUAAUAGGAACUAUCUAGCCAGUUCUCUCAGGCAUGGGAAUCCCCUGGGGCUCGUGUAAAUGUGUAUAAAAGUAUGUCCUCAGUGUCACUCCAGAUGUUUCUGCAGGGAAAGAAUCCUCCUCCCCACACAUGGGCAAGAACGCUGUGCAUGUAACCUCCACGCUCAGACUUGCUCCAAGCCAAGCAGCAUCCUGAAGGGGGGCCCUGAGGAUCCACAGGUCCUUCCCACCUGCCUCCUUCUACACGUAGAAGGUCAUGUUUGUGGCUAAGUGUCCUCCUAGGCUUGGAGGGGAGACUAGAGCCUGUAAGUAUUAACAGAGGAUAAUAAGGCUCAGAAACAAAGGCAAGCAGGCAGAGAGGUCAGGCCAGGACAACUGUAAAUGGUAAUUAAGUCUCUGCACACUUAUCUUUGGAGACUGUCCUUGGGCUCUAGCUGAGCAGGGCCUUCUCGGCUGUGUGGAGGGUCUGCUUGUAGUUUUGAUUCUGCCCCUCAGGGCAACCUGAACUGCACAUUUUUUUUGCUGCAGCGUCUGACUGCCAAGGCUGUAAAAAGGCAGAUCCUGGAUUCUGCAGUUGCUCCCCCCCACACCCCUCAAUGCCUGCUUUACAUGGUGACAGGGCCAGGAAGACUCCAGGGCUUCCACUUUACCUCUAGCAUGUUAAGUCUCAUUUCUCACCCCAUGUUCCAAGGGGGAAAGUGAAGUAUUCCUGCAGGACGCCCACUCACGUGGCCUGCCUGACACCCAAGGCCCAGCCCACAAAGGGAAUGCUGCCCUGGGGUACCAGCAGUAUUCCCCACCCUGUCCCCAGGCAGGCUCCUGACACCUAUUGUCUCUCCACCUCACCCACCUGUGUUCACACCUCCCCAGUCUAAGCAGAAAGUCACAUGCCAGCAGCCACAACUGAGACUAGGUGGUGGCAAUAUGCCAAAAGAAUCCAAAACAGAAUCCUGCCACUGCAUAUGGUAUUUAAAACCAUAAAAGUGGCAAAGGAGACAGUACAUACUAUCUGGAACCAGUGACAGCGAUUAUGGGGCCAACACAUAUAAGAUAACAUAUACAAAGGAUCAAGCACCAGACCAAGACACCCUGUGGCAGAGACUCCGGGUCAUCAGCCCAAUAUCCAUUCUCCCUUUCUUCUUUAGUAACAGAACCCUGAAUUUCAACAACACAUAUAGCUACCUAGAGUAAAGACCACAUUUCCCAGCCUCCCUUGCAGCAGCUUAUGGCAAUGUAGCUUCUUGCUAGGUCCUGGUUUCUGAGACAUCUCCUUAAAGAGAGGGGGCAUGUCCCCCCCUGCUGCUGCCUGGCAUAUAGCCAUCUUGGACUGUAAGGUGAAAGUCAUUUCUUGAAGUUGGUGCAACAACAAGGCAGAAGGAGCCCAAAUGCCUGAUAAUCAAGGAGCUAGACAGUAUAUUGACUCUGGCUUGCCUAUGUUUAUGGGAGAGAGAAAAUAACUUCUCUGUGGUUUAAGCCCAUAUUAUUUGGGAUUUUCUGAUACAGCUCAACUGUGUUCUAACUGAUACAGUUUUCUUCCUCUUAGGACCUCAUGAGAUAUCAAUGACAUCCCAAAAUUAAUUGCAUCAUGGUUUCAUUAAAGAGUACCAUCCAAAAUAAUAAUAGCUUUGAAGC